UUCUCUCUCCUCUACAGUGUGAAUAUAUAUGGAUGAGAAGGGUGUAACAAGCUUACCUAAGUAGAGUAAUUCCACCUGUACUAUCUCAUGAAGCUCACCACCACAGUCUCUGGAGGCAAACAGCUUUGCAUAAACCUGGCCAUUUUCACUGCCUUUCUGGACCAUGCACAACUGAGAUCACCAUAGCAUGGUAGCACAUUUAUAAACCUAACAGACAUCAUCGGGAGGAAUGAAGACACACAGGUCUUCGAGAGCAUAAAGGUACUCACAAAGCAUCACAUGGCAGGAGUGAUACUGGGGUGGAAAGGACUUUCCAUGGAUUUUCCACGCUCAUAGCAUCCCUGUGUUUGCAUGGAAGAAUGUCUAUGAUUUAA
rnacentral:lncRNA from 1 species